rnacentral:rRNA from 1 species
CAGAACGAACGCUGGCGGCAGGCCUAACACAUGCAAGUCGAGCGCCCCGCAAGGGGAGCGGCGCACGGGUGAGUAACGCGUGGGAAUAUGCCCUGGGGCUGGGGAUAACGGCGGGAAACUGCCGCUAAUACCCGGUACGCCAUGAGUGGGAAAGGAGCAAUCCGCCCUGGGAGUAGCCCGCGUUGGAUUAGCUAGUUGGUGUGGUAAGAGCGCACCAAGGCGACGAUCCAUAGCUGGUCUGAGAGGAUGAUCAGCCACACUGGGACUGAGACACGGCCCAGACUCCUACGGGAGGCAGCAGUGGGGAAUAUUGGACAAUGGGGGCAACCCUGAUCCAGCCAUGCCGCGUGAGUGAAGAAGGCCCUAGGGUUGUAAAGCUCUUUCGCACGCGACGAUGAUGACGGUAGCGUGAGAAGAAGCCCCGGCUAACUUCGUG